GACGUAGGUGGCGAACGUUAUCCGGAAUUAUUGGGCGUAAAGGGCGCGUAGGCGGCUUGGCAAGUGGAUGGUGAAAUCCCUCGGCUUAACCGAGGAACUGCCGUCCAAACUGCUUCGCUUGAGACCGGGAGAGGUGAGUGGAAUUCCCAGUGUAGCGGUGAAAUGCGUAGAUAUUGGGAGGAACACCAGUGGCGAAGGCGGCUCACUGGACCGGUACUGACGCUGAUGCGCGAAAGCGUGGGGAGCAAACGGG
rnacentral:rRNA from 1 species